UACUCUGUUUUCCAGGACCAAAGUUUUAUUCCACACUUUGCAACACAUAUUAAACCCAUGUUAUUGUCGGAUAGAAUACUGAGGGUCCCCAAGGAGAGGGCUUGUUAGUGUAGGAAGGAUUUUUAAUAUGGUUAGCAUCUAUUAGAUUAUACGUUUUUAAAUAGUAUUAUAUUUAACAGGAAUAUAGGACAUCUAUGAGGAGUUAGGAUUAUUGUUGGGAUUAAGAUAGAUUGAUUAAGGAAUUUGGAGAAAAGCCGCUCAUAGACAUUUUUUUUUUCUAAAAGAGGGUCCAUGGGUUUGUAGUUCCCAUGUAGUUCAAAUUUGGAAAACAUGAGAAACAUACAGAGGAGCCCUCCCACGCACCGCAGAGACCUUGAAGGUGGGAGAGCAGAGAAGUUAGAGGGGGGUGCAGGAAGAGCAAAGAUAACAUAGUGGGUAAAUAAGUUUCUAAAUGGGUCAGAAUGGGAGCUGUAGAUAGAGGAGGUAUUUGGCAUAAAGGGAAUCUACCUGUUUUACCUAAGUCACUGUUUAAAUAUGCUGCUGUAUUGAUACAUGGGCAAAGCCAUGUAUCAACAGGGGGGAUGGUAGGAAUGGUUAAACAGCACUUUGUAGCAUAUGGAAUAACUAACUAUUUUAAAAACUUUUGCUCACGGUGUACUAUAUUGAAUUAACUAGGAGUGAAAACAAGAAGUGGUGUUUAACAAUAAUUGAUAAAUAUACCAAAUGGGUAGAAGUGUUUCCUACAUCCUCAGCAGAUGCAGAAACAGUGGCUAGAGCAUUAUGUCAGGAGAUAAUUCAGCAAUUUGGAUUACCAGAAGUAAUUGAGCAUAUAGGUCAGAAAUUGGAUAUAAAUAUGAAGAAACAUAGUUCUUAUCACCCCCAAAGCGCUGGCCUUAUCUAGAACAUGAAUCGAUCGGGAAAAGGUUGAUUAAGGAAAACACACCUAAGUACUGGAAUGAACGGGAUAAAAUGCCUGCCCAUAGUGUUAAUGACUAUUAGAAUAACCCCUGAUAGGGAGGGGCUAUCUCCAUUUGAGAAGGUUUUUGGUAGACCCUAUAGAAUGCCCCAAUUAGGGCGAUUAGAAAUAGAAAGCAGUAUGGUGGGACACAUGAGGAGGUUGUUCAUUAAUCAAACACGUAUGUCAAAAGUUUUAUGCCCAGCAGGAGAAUUAGAGGGAGGUGGCACACGAGAUUCAACCAGGAGACUGGAUCUGGAUCCAAUCAUUGAAGAAAAAAAACUGGAAGCAGCCUCGGUGGGAGGGACCAUUCCAAGUACUACUGGUGACUGCCUUCGCGGUUCCAUUUAAAUCAAGACUUCCUCCCUUUACCGUGACGAGAGGAGAACAUUACUGGUUGGCCAGAUACAGUACACACGGGAAAUACGUGGGGGAAGUUGGUACCUGCAAUAAGACAGAGAAUAUUACCACUGACGAGACCAUGUCUGAUUUGACAGGCUGGUUGAACUCUGGAGAUUUCAAAAUGUUGAAGGUGGCCAGGGCUGACAUCUGGUGGUUGUGCGGGGGAAUGAAUUUGUGGUCGGUAUUACCGACUGAUUGGACUGGGCUAUGCGCUCUAGUACAUUUAGGAAUGCCUUUUACACUCAUACAACACCAAGACGUGAAGUUAGCCAAAACGAGAGAGAUGCUCCAUCUGGAUCUUUUGACGACAGAGUAUAUAUAUUGAUAACAUUGGUGUUCCACGAGGUGUGUAAUUAUAUUUAUGGUAAUCAACAGCGCUUUAGCAGGAAUACCAAAGGUGUUGUUAAAGGUUUUGUAGAACAGACUGACGCAACCAGCUGGAAGACCUGACAGAAUAGAAUUGCAUAGGAUAAAAGGAGGAAGUGGGCGUGAUAAUCAGGACCAUGUCUUACAUCCCGGGUAGCACGGCUCCGGACGAAUCAGUGCCCGAAGCCUCAGCUGGUUUGACCACCCUGGCUCACGGGUUGGCAGAAACUCUGGGGUGGAUACUUCUCUGAACUAAAUUGGGUAGACAGUAUUUAUGGAAAAAUGUGGUGUUUUGGGCUGUAUCAACCUGUAUGACUGUAUUAAUUUUAUGCGGCUGUUGUCUAAUUCCCUGUGUGCGAGGCCUUGUUUCCAGGACUCUGGAAAGAUCAAUGACCCAACGCCGAUUCCAGAUUCUGACCUGUGGAGGACUGGAGGCAUGUCUAAGGGAGGAAGUGGACGAAUCCGGAUCUGUCAUUUGUGGGGAAUUUAUGUUUGAUGAGAAUAGUGUUGAGAUGAAGGGGAAUUAGAUUGUAAUUUGUUUCAACGAUUAAACUGUUUUUUGAUAAAGAUUGUAAAAACAAAAACAAAAACGAAUUCCGGAAGGAAGAGUUAUGAUUCUGAUGUAGGUUUAAAAACAGUUGGAGUUAAGGUUAGAAUUGAUUAAUGAAAUGUGGAGGGUUGGAUAAACAUUUAUAAUUGAUUUGUUGAUUAUUUGUCUAUUCAUAUGAUAAUCUGAUGAACCUCUAUAAAAAGGUUAGAUAAGUUCGUUUAUACUUUCAUUUUUUAUGAUUAAAUAAAAC